rnacentral:rRNA from 1 species
GGGAGCCCAUACAGGUGCUGCAUGGCUGUCGUCAGCUCGUGCCGUGAGGUGUUCGGUUAAGUCCGGUAACGAGCGCAACCCUCGUCGUCAGUUACAAGUGUCUGACGAGACUGCCCGUGAUAAGCGGGAGGAAGGUGGGGAUGACGUCAAGUCAGCAUGGCCUUUAUAUCCAGGGCUACACACACGCUACAAUGGCCGGUACAAUGGGUCGCCAACCCGCGAGGGGGAGCCAAUCCAGCAAAACUUCCCUCAGUUCAGAUUGCAGGCUGCAACUCGCCUGCAUGAAGUUGGAGUUGCUAGUAAACGCAGGUCAGCCAUACUGCGUUGAAUACGUUCCCGGGGCUU